UNCCAACUGAGCUACAUCCCUACCUCCUACCC
rnacentral:piRNA from 1 species